rnacentral:rRNA from 1 species
UGGGGAAUAUUGCACAAUGGGCACAAGCCUGAUGCAGCCAUGCCGCGUGUGUGAAGAAGGCCUCGGGUUGUAAAGCACUUUCAGCGAGGAGGAAGGUGGUGAGCUUAAUACGCUCAUCAAUUGACGUUACUCGCAGAAGAAGCACCGGCUAACUCCGUGCCAGCAGCCGCGGUAAUACGGAGGGUGCAAGCGUUAAUCGGAAUUACUGGGCGUAAAGCGCACGCAGGCGGUUUGUUAAGUCAGGUGUGAAAUCCCCGGGCUCAACCUGGGAACUGCAUUUGAAACUGGCAAGCUAGAGUCUCGUAGAGGGGGGCUAGAAUUCCAGGUGUAGCGGUGAAAUGCGUAGAGAUCUGGAGGAAUACCGGUGGCGAAGGCGGCCCCCCUGGACGAAGACUGACGCUCAGGUGCGAAAGCGUGGGGCAGCAAACAGGAUUAGAUACCCUGGUAGUCCACGCUGUAAACGAUGUCGAUUUUGGAGGUUGUGCCCCUUGAGGCGUGGCUUCCGGAGCUAACGCGUUAAAUCGACCGCCUGGGGAGUACGGCCNCAAGGUU